GAUUAUUCAGUCUUCACUCUUGAGCGUACACACGUGGAUCAAAUUAGAGCUAGCUAGAUCUAGAUCUAAAUCUGUUAAGUUAUUAGUUAUACUACAAGUUAUAGAGCUCUAGUCUAGGUCUAGUCAAUCUAGACUUUCAUUAAUAUAAUAGAUCUAUUAUAAAUAAUUAUAUGAGCUGUACUUCUUGAUAUCAUAAUCAAUGCAUAUGUUCUUCAACUCAUCAGACUCAUGGCAGCAGCCAUGGAAAUUCAAUUGGAAUGGUCGUAACUUAUAAGUUAAAGUCUUAAGCCUAUCACAAGUACAGAUCAUCAUCAGAUGACGAAUCUCUAAGUACUCUAACACUACUAACAGAUCUAAUCUAGAUAGUAGAUUAGGUCUAGACUUAGAAUAGAUUUAUAGAUAUAUCGAUAUAUCUAGAUAAUCUAGAAUGCUAAGAAUCUAGAUCUAGAGAUUCUAUAGAUCUCUCUAGACUAGUUUUAUUAUAAUAUCUAAUAGUAGUAAUAGGCUACUAGAUCUAGUACGAUAUAAUAUUAUUAAUAUAUUAUUAAUAUAUAUCUAGACUUGAGACCUAUUAAAUCUAGAUCUAGACGACUUAGACUUAACUUAAGUGAUUAACAUUCAUGCGUUAUGACUAGAUUUACUGAUUUACUAUUUAGAAUAGAUUCUAGAUCUAGAUUCUAGAAGCUAAGAAUCUACCAUGAAAUGGCUAAUGCAUCUGCAGCAUAGAAUUAGAUUUAGUUAAAAAAGGACUUACUAGAUCUUAAAUCUAAAUCUACUACCUUUUAACUUUUAGGGCAGAAUAUUAGAUCUAGUCUAUAUGCCUAUCUAAGUAUCUAGUCACGUAACUGUAAACUAAUACUUAGACUUAGGACUUUGGACACUUUGGUAUAUUAAUAUAAUAAUUAUUAUACUCAUAGUACUCAUACUCAUAUAUAGAUUUUAGUUCUAUUCUAAUUCAAAUAUUUUGAGGUUAGAAAAAAUUGACCUAGACUUAUAAGAUAUACUAAGACUUAGUAAACUUAGAUCUAGAUCUAAUAAAAGAUAGUCUAGAAUAGUCUAGAUUCUAAAAUCUAGUUGUUAUUAGAAAAUUUAGUAGAUAUAGAAUAAUAUUUAAUUAAUAUAUUGUUAAUACAGACUAAUCUUUAAUUUUUUCAUAGUAUAGGCGAUAGGUCAUUUAGAUUAAAUAAUUCUAGAUCUAGUAACUAGUUAUAGUCAUAGACCUAUAGUAUAGACUUAUAAUCUUAUAAUAUAGAUAUUUACUUUGUAGAGACUAAUGUACAAUAUUAGGCCUACACUCCAGAUCUUGAAAAUCUAGUCUAGAGUUUAGAAUGUUUAAAUUUAUACAAAUAAAUAAAAUCAAACGUUUAUAUUGGUUUUAAAAUCAGAUAUUAAGAUAUGUCUAGAAAAAUAUGUAUAUAUAUAGUAUAUCUAUAUUAGGGGCCUAUAUAUAAUAGACUAACGCCACUAACGGCUAACCCUAUAGCUGCUUUAGACUAUAGCCCUAUAUUGACAUUGUUUUUUGUUUUUUUUUUAAAUGUUCCUUCAGAGUUGAAGAUAUCUACUUGGUUGUCUAAACCUCAAAGGAGCUUAGGGAAGUGAUGGUAGUUGCAGGGUAUGAACCAGACGACCAUGCAGAGACCAACAAGGCGACCAAACAGUCCAUCGUGCAUACCACAUAACCAGGUCCAGAAUGCCAGUUUUCUUUAAGGGCAGCUGACAAUAAGAAUUGUCUAUGUAUGCACUACAGAUGCUGUUCAAUAUCUUUUCAUGAGGAAGCCUGCUCUAAAAGAUCGCCACAUUUUCUUUAGGGGAAGUUGACAUUAAUCUUUUAGGUUAAUAAUAACCUAUGCAUGCAGUACAGAUGCUGUUCAUCAUCUUUUCAUAAGCAAGCCUGCUCAAGAAGCUGCUGCAUGGAAGUCAAAAUAUGAAUUAUUGCCACCAGCCUUGAAGUCAGCUUGUAAAGAAUGCUAAGAAUUGAAUGAAAAUGCUGUCUUGAUAUCUUGUUUGUGCUGUUAUAUUUGUCUUUUGUGUUGGUUAAUUAUUCCAUGAAUAAAAAAUAAAAAAAAGUUAA